GGCACUGGUUUUAUUUAUUACACUGAAACACUUUGAAUUGGUUGAAGUAGUUUGUUCUACUAGACCAAAACAAAUUAAAGGAAAAGUUCUUCAAGAAGAUUAAUACAAUUUUUAUACGUGUAUGUAUUGUAAAUAUAAAACCAGUGCCAGUCAGUUAGCUUACUUAGCACAACGACUGGAAACAGGGACUCCACAGGGAACCUUUUAAAUUCAACUCAUUCGUCCAACUCAUUUAGCUUAUGUUUUCAGUCUUUCUUUCUUGACCAGGUACUUUUAUUUAGGAUGACAUGAAAUAGAAAAUGCUCAAUUCAAUUUUACUUGUAUAGCGCUAAAUCACAACAACGGUUAUGUCAUUGCGCUCUUCAUAAAAGAGCAGGUCUAGACCGUAGUCUGUGAUGAUAUUUACAGAAACCCAACAGUUCACCAAGAGCAAGCACUAGGCAACAGAGGCAAGGAAACACUUCCUUUAAGAGGCAGAGACCUCGAGCAGAACCAUGGCUUGGGGGGGGGGGGUGCAGGCGCAUCUGCCUCGACCGGUUGGGGGUUAGAGAAAGAGACAGAGAGAGAGACAUGGAGAAUUGUAGCAGAGGGUGUCGAGCAGGAACAUGGAGGCAGCAGGUGACUCCAACCACAGAUCCAGAGCCAGAAACACCUGCAGGAAGCGAUAGGAGGAGAGAGGAGAGGGACGAGAGAGCACAAGACUACGGGGGCGAGAGAGCACAAGACUCCGGGUAAGGGAAUAAGUUCAGGGAACAUUAAAGAAUUAGUGCUGAAUUGAUGCCAUCCAUUGGCCAAACAGAAAUGUGACUCGGUGUAUUGUUGCACAUGAACUCAAUAUCUGUCCCUGGUUGGCUAGUUCUGACACGCAGUUUUAGUUAGGAUACAUUUGGAUAUACGAUAAAGGGACUGUAUUUACAUAGCGCUUCUCUAAUCUACGACUAUUCAAAGCGCUUUCACAUAGCACAGGAACCAUUCACACACUGUGGCCGCGGCUGCUGUACAAGGUGAUAAACACACACACACACAUUUACACUCCGGUGGCAGCUCGGGGUUCAGUGUCUUGCCCAAGGACACUUGGACAUGGGACUGCAGGGCCAGGUAUCGAACCUCCAACCUUCAGAUUGGCUGGCAACCAGUGAUCCACAGCCGCCCUGUAUAUCUGUACGGAUCUUAAUGUAGAGUGGUGGUAUGUUUGGUAUGUACUAGGGGGUGGGGCAUCACCAGACACCUCCCGAUACAAUAUCCUCACGAUACUUGCGCCGCGAUACGAUAUUAUUGCGAUUUUAAACGUAUUGCGAUAUUCUGCGAUAUAAUGCAAUUUAUAAACUUUUUUCUUACUUCAAAUUUUUCCCAGGUUCAAAUGACGUCCCCAGAAGGAAACGUUGUCAACAUCUGUUUUUUUCUAAAAUGAUAAAUUUCUCUGUUUGUUUACAUCACUGCGAAAUGGGAUUGUCAAGCAGACAAACUGACCACCACCACACAUAUAAUAUAUAAUAACAGAUACUUGGCACUUGUGUAUCGAUACAGUAUUGCCACUGAAAAUAUAAGUUACUAAUAAUACUUAAGAGGAACAAAUAUGAGCAUUCAUGAGAUUAGAGACAAUUUAAUAUUAGAUUAGAUUUACUAGACCCUGGAACCAGCCGGCAUUACGCAUUUAAUAAUGUUUUGAAGUUAUUGAAAGUGAACUUUAAACGUGUUUUGAGACUUUGAUGCAUUAAAAAAGUGUUUAGAUUAUUUUUGGACACUGCAAGUCAGUUGACUUGCUGCCUGGCCUUUGGAUUUUUGCCCUUUCACUUUCACUGUGGUGGUGUGUGUUUAUCUGCUGUGCACAUUUAAUGUUGAGUCAAG